ensembl:lncRNA novel transcript, antisense to SELPLG
GAGUCAGGGCCGGACUUGCAGCAGGCCGGAGGCUGGGAGAAUAACACAGAAACACGGAGGGUGCUGGGGCCCAGUUCUUCAGGACUCAAAACACUCUCUGUAGAUGCACAGCACAGGCCCUUUCAGCUGCAACCAAGAGCCUCUCUAGGGAGCUGGACUACAGAUACCACAAGGGCAAGUCCUGCUUAUCUUAUUUCUUCAUCCUAAAUUUGUUCAUUUGACCAACUCUGGCACUCCAGACUGCAUGCCCUGAGGUCUAAAGGCCAGCAAUUCUGGGCUGUGGCCCUCUGGUAGCCCUCCAUCCAAUGGGGAGGCCAGCGAGUAAACAAUUCGGUGGAACAUCAUGCCACAAUGACACAGCGCAGUGAGUGCCAUCCUGCGACCCUAUUGGUUCUCUUCUUCUGGAGAACGCUAAUAGAGAGGCUCUGUCCACGCAGAAAUGAUGGGAGCACAGGCUGGGGGAGUCACCGGGCAGGUGUGAGAAGUAGCUGGGAUAUGGAUGCACUGUGAAACCAGAGCCUGGGUGUGGGAUACGCAAGAAGAGAUGGGAGUCAAGGAGGCUCAGAGGUGGAAGAGCAUGAACUUCCUCCUGUAGACAAAAGGGAUAAUCACUUGUGUCUCCUUCAGAGACCUUGACAGAAAACAUCACUCUAGAAGCAAAACAGGGAACAGGCGGUUGGAGGCAGAGAAACCAGCUACAAGGCUGUUCGGACACUAGACUGUUAUCUACAUGGGGAGGCACCUGGCAGGUGGCCAGAUCCCCAGAUGGAAUCUCCACCUUGUGGUUUAUGAGGCAUUCUAGGCCACUGCCUCCUGAAGACACUGCUCAGGGUGGUAAGAACUCAUUUUGCAUUUGGGGAGCUGUAGGUGGGGAUGGUGAUAAGCAGCCCAGGAUUUUGUUCGCCAAGAGGUAUUAUUCCAACUUCCACAACCCAAAUAGCAUCUCUGCACGGAAAUGAAGCUGCAACAGCUCCCUGUCAUGGAUGGGGCACUUCCCAGUUCUCAGACUUCAUCACUAGAGCCCCCAAGCUUGGAUGUUGUUGCUGAACUCCCUCAAGGCACUAAGUGUUAGCCUGAGCACCUCUCCUGGCUGGACCAGGGGUCACUUGCUCCAUUACAGUUCUCUCCAGCUCGGUGACACUCUCACUGUAAAUGCAAGUUCUCACUCAGUGAAUGCCAAGACGAAUGCAACCCUACCUAGUGGGGUAGAGAUUAGGAAAUGGGCGAUGAGAGGCACAGGGCUCUUGGGAAGGGAGCCCUGCUGCUGGGGGCCUGAGAGACACCCAGUGGAGAGGAGCCUGGACAAACUUGGCAACCAGCCCCAACCACGUUCCGCAGCAUUUUGGGGGCCAGGCACCCUGUGUGUGAUCCCUUUCCACUGUAACCAGGCCUGCUCCCUGCUCUUCCCCUCGGAGACACAGAUGACUGCUCCUCUCUGGCAGCCCAAAGCUUUCUCUGCCCCCACAACUGCCUGGGGGCCUUUGAGCCACUUCUCCCCAGUUCUGUUCCAAACCCACCAGGAAGUCCUUCCCCAAAAGUCCACUUACUCUUUGAGAUCAGUGUGAGGAAGCUACUCUAAGAACAAAACUAAGCACCCGGUGGUGAGUGCCCAAGCUCAAGUGUGCAGAUUUUUUCUGACAGCAGAAUAGACCUGUCUACUUGCCUUCCAAGUUGAGUCCUGAAGUGGGUAACUUCCUCCUCUGACUUCUGCCCUCAGGCUCCCUGGGCAACGGCCCUGACGUUGCUUUCUAGCCCCUCACCAUGAAGCCUGUCAGGGAGCCGCGUGCCUCACCCUCUAUCUGCCCCUCACUAAACUCAGGAUCCUAAAAUCUGCCCUCUUACCCAUUUUCGUUCACA